rnacentral:rRNA from 1 species
AUUGAACGCUGGCGGCAUGCCUUACACAUGCAAGUCGAACGGCAGCACGGGAGCAAUCCUGGUGGCGAGUGGCGAACGGGUGAGUAAUAUAUCGGAACGUGCCCAGUCGUGGGGGAUAACGCAGCGAAAGCUGUGCUAAUACCGCAUACGAUCUCUGGAUGAAAGCGGGGGACCUGCAAGGGCCUCGCGCGAUUGGAGCGGCCGAUAUCAGAUUAGCUAGUUGGUGGGGUAAAAGCUCACCAAGGCGACGAUCUGUAGCUGGUCUGAGAGGACGACCAGCCACACUGGAACUGAGACACGGUCCAGACUCCUACGGGAGGCAGCAGUGGGGAAUUUUGGACAAUGGGCGCAAGCCUGAUCCAGCAAUGCCGCGUGCAGGAUGAAGGCCUUCGGGUUGUAAACUGCUUUUGUACGGAGCGAAAAGGCUCUCUCUAAUACGGAGGGCUCAUGACGGUACCGUAAGAAUAAGCACCGGCUAACUACGUG